rnacentral:misc_RNA from 1 species
GAAAAUUUCAUGCAGAAAUUGAUGAAUCGAAGAUAUAUCGAAACUCGCAAUCUUCCUAAGCAUAGAUAAGAUCUGUUUUCACACUUCCCGAUCAUUUUCCUUCCUGACAAACCUUUUCUUUUUCUUCGUCUUCUAUUUGUAUUCAUUAAUGCUCGUUAUAUAAGCUGAAAAGCUCCCUUCUUCUUGAUCUAAAUAACUCUCGAGCUCUACAAAAUCAAUAACUAUCUAAAAUCCAUUAAUAUGAAUUCCGCUACUACAGAAGCUAGUCAGCGAAUUGCAAGAAUCGCUGCCCACCUCAAUCCUCCCAAUUUCCAGAUGGAGGAGAGUUGUGGUCUGAACCGGGCCAAUUGCCGGGCGAAAGGAGGGGCUGCCGGGUUCAAGGUAGCUAUAUUGGGAGCUGCAGGAGGAAUAGGGCAGCCUUUGGCAUUGUUGAUGAAGAUGAAUCCAUUGGUUUCUGUUCUUCAUUUGUAUGAUGUGGUCAAUACUCCUGGUGUUACUGCUGAUAUUAGCCAUAUGGACACUGGUGCUGUGGUACGUGGUUUCUUGGGCCAGCAGCAACUGGAGGAUGCCCUUACAGGGAUGGAUCUUGUGAUCAUUCCUGCUGGCGUUCCUAGGAAACCAGGAAUGACAAGAGAUGAUUUGUUCAACAUAAACGCCGGAAUAGUGAAGACCCUUUGUGAAGGGAUUGCCAAGUGCUGCCCUCAAGCAAUUGUCAACAUUAUUAGUAAUCCCGUUAACUCUACUGUUCCAAUUGCAGCAGAAGUUUUCAAGAAAGCUGGCACCUUUGACCCAAAUCGAGUUUUAGGAGUCACAAUGCUUGAUGUUGUCAGAGCUAAUACUUUUGUGGCAGAAGUUUUGGGCCUUGAUCCUAGAGAGACUGAUGUUCCUGUUGUUGGGGGUCAUGCAGGGGUUACUAUUUUACCUCUUCUAUCACAGGUUAAACCUCCAUGCUCAUUCACGCAAAAAGAAAUUGAUUACUUGACAGAUCGUAUUCAAAAUGGAGGAACAGAAGUUGUAGAGGCUAAAGCCGGUUCAGGUUCUGCAACGCUAUCUAUGGCAUAUGCAGCUGUUAAAUUU